AGCCUUGUGGUGUAGAGCACAUAAAAUUGCAAAUUUUAAAGAAAGAAUUAAAUUUCUCCGGGGCUU
rnacentral:tRNA from 1 species